GACGAACGCUGGCGGCGUGCUUAACACAUGCAAGUCGAACGAAGUGGCGAACGGGUGAGUAACGCGUAAUCAACCUGCCCGUCAGAGGGGGACAACAGGGGGAAACGACUGCUAAUACCGCAUACUGAAGGAGGGGAAGGCGUCUGAUUGGCUAGUUGGGGGGGUAAUGGCCCACCAAUGCGAUGAUCAGUAGCCGGUCUGAGAGGUUGACCGGCCACAUUGGGACUGAGACACGGCCCAGACUCCUACGGGAGGCAGCAGUGGGGAAUCUUCCGCAAUGGACGAACGUCUGACGGAGCAACGCCGCGUGAGUGAUGACGGCCUUCGGGUUGUAAAGCUCUGUUACUCGGUACGCGGUACCGGAAUAGAAAGCCACGGCUAACUACGUGCCAGCAGCCGCGGUAAUAC
rnacentral:rRNA from 1 species